CCCUUACUUCAGCAUCACCCUGGGCCUUGGGAGCCAGGACUUGUUUCGCUUCAGAAUUGUUUAUUAAAGGGAAUUUAGUGUCCUUCAUGUUGGGAAAGCAGAGGGAAUGGCUAAAGGCAAGAUGGGAAGUCCAAGAGACACUUGUUUGGCCCUUUGUAGUCAGGCGGGCUUGUGCAGGUGAAGGGGCUGAGGUGACAGAAUGAGACCAUGAAGAGGAAGCCUAUCAGGACCACCCGCCAACGGAGUGAAGACAAGGAGAAUCUUGCAACUCCUCUAUUAAAAGGUAGAGUCCACAGUCUUUCCUGAGAACUUGGAAGGGCCUUUGUGCCUGCUCCCACUAAUUUAGACUGGUGCAAUUGAUCCCAUCUCUUCUGAUGACUUCUGAGACUAGGUCUGCUUGGCCAUGGUUCUCUUGGGGCAUUCACUCUGGGUGCCUUCAGCCACCAAGUAUGAAGUCUGGUAACGUUGAGGCCACUGCAAGGAGAUGCCACAUGGAUAGAAAGAGAUGCUCAGAUUGCCCCACCUGUUCCAGUUCCCUGAUGUUCAGGUCUUCUCAACCCAGAUGCCAGAUGGCUGAGUGAAAAAGCCUGUGGGAUCAUCCAGCUCCAGCCGCCAUGUAGGGGCCCAGGAGAAUCUGGAAGGCAAACAAUUCUUGCUCCUUCUCACUAUGGGACCUGUAGUAGCCAACAGCACCAACCAAGGGAAAACACUCUUCUUAAUUUCCCUUAUAUAAACUCUCUAUGUAUAGAAACUUUACAAGAAUACUUUCAGUAACCCAA